rnacentral:rRNA from 1 species
UACGGAGGGUGCAAGCGUUGUCCGGAUUUAUUGGGUUUAAAGGGUGUGUAGGCGGGUAUUUAAGUCAGUGGUGAAAUCUCCAGGCUCAACCUGGAAACUGCCAUUGAUACUAUAUAUCUUGAAUUUUGUUGAGGUAGGCGGAAUAUGUCAUGUAGCGGUGAAUGCAUAGAUAUGACAUAGAACACCAAUUGCGAAGGCAGCUUACUAAGCAAAUAUUGACGCUGAGGCACGAAAGCGUGGGGAUCAAACAGG